AAAUUGAAGAGUUUGAUCAUAGCUCAGAUUGAACGCUGGCGGCAGGCCUAACACAUGCAAGUCGAACGGUAACAGGAAGCAGCUUGCUGCUUCGCUGACGAGUGGCGGACGGGUGAGUAAUGUCUGGGAAACUGCCUGAUGGAGGGGGAUAACUACUGGAAACGGUAGCUAAUACCGCAUAAUGUCGCAAGACCAAAGAGGGGGACCUUCGGGCCUCUUGCCAUCGGAUGUGCCCAGAUGGGAUUAGCUUGUUGGUGGGGUAACGGCUCACC
rnacentral:rRNA from 1 species